GCUAGUGGAGAGGUGGCAGCCUCUUUCCUUCCUCCCUUUCCAUUUUCUUCUUUUUCUUUUUCUUCUUCUUUUUUUUCCCCUUGGAGGAAAUACCGCAGCCUCUGGACUGCGUGCCGGGCUCCCUGGAGAGACUCUCAGUUCCACCCACUGGCUGGAAGGAGGGGAAGUGAGUGAGAGAGGGGCAAGGCCAGCCGGAACACACCAUGUCACUCUGGGAACCAGACAGCAGCAACUAAGCCUGCACGGGUUUCUUUUUCUUUUCUUUAUUUUUUUCUUUUUCUUUUUCUUCUUUUCCCAGUUUUUUCCUUUCCUUUCUUUUUCUGUUUGCCCAUUGUUUCUUUUCUUUUCUUUUUAUUAAAAUUUAUUUUUUUUCCGUGGUGGGAAAGAGACACGGGAGAGACGGAGAGCUGUAACUGCAAGGAUUCCGAGUUGUGCUAAAGGAUUUUUUUUUUCUCUUUUUUUUCUCCUCCUUCGCCUUCACAAGCGCCUGCGAUUGACACCACUAGAGACAGGCUGGUUACAGAGCAAACUGCUUCAUCCGGACUGGACCGGGCAGCUGGGAGGA
rnacentral:lncRNA from 1 species